rnacentral:rRNA from 1 species
AUUGAACGCUGGCGGCAGGCCUAACACAUGCAAGUCGAGCGGAUGAAGGGAGCUUGCUCCUGGAUUCAGCGGCGGACGGGUGAGUAAUGCCUAGGAAUCUGCCUGGUAGUGGGGGAUAACGUCCGGAAACGGGCGCUAAUACCGCAUACGUCCUGAGGGAGAAAGUGGGGGAUCUUCGGACCUCACGCUAUCAGAUGAGCCUAGGCCGGAUUAGCUAGUUGGUGGGGUAAAGGCCUACCAAGGCGACGAUCCGUAACUGGUCUGAGAGGAUGAUCAGUCACAUGGGAACUGAGACACGGUCCAGGCUCCUACGGGAGGCAGCAGUGUGCAAUGUUGGGCACUGGGCGAAAACCUGGAACAGCGAUGCCACGUGUGUGGAGAAGGUCUUCGGAUUGUAAAGCACUUUAAGUUGGGAGGAAGGGCAGUAAGUUAAUACCUUGCUGUUUUGACGUUACCAACAGAAUAAGCACCGGCUAACUUCGUG